rnacentral:rRNA from 1 species
CCUACGGGGGGCAGCAGUGGGGAAUAUUGGACAAUGGGGGGAACCCUGAUCCAGCCAUGCCGCGUGUGUGAAGAAGGCCCUCGGGUUGUAAAGCACUUUCAGUGAGGAAGAACGCCUGGUGGUUAAUACCCAUCAGGAAAGACAUCACUCACAGAAGAAGCACCGGCUAACUCCGUGCCAGCAGCCGCGGUAAUACGGAGGGGGCGAGCGUUAAUCGGAAUUACUGGGCGUAAAGCGCGCGUAGGUGGCUUGAUAAGCCGGUUGUGAAAGCCCCGGGCUCAACCUGGGAACGGCAUCCGGAACUGUCAAGCUAGAGUGCAGGAGAGGAAGGUAGAAUUCCCGGUGUAGCGGUGAAAUGCGUAGAGAUCGGGAGGAAUACCAGUGGCGAAGGCGGCCUUCUGGACUGACACUGACACUGAGGUGCGAAAGCGUGGGUAGCAAACAGGAUUAGAUACCCUAGUAGUC